GUGCCAGCAGCCGCGGUAAUACCGGCAGCCCGAGUGAUGGCCGAUCUUAUUGGGCCUAAAGCGUCCGUAGCUGGCUGCGCAAGUCCGUCGGGAAAUCCACCCGCUCAACGGGUGGGCGUCCGGUGGAAACUGCACAGCUUGGGACCGGAAGGCGCGACGGGUACGUUCGGGGUAGGAGUGAAAUCCCAUAAUCCUGCACGGACCACCGAUGGCGAAAGCACGUCGAGAAAACGGAUCCGACAGUGAGGGACGAAAGCCAGGGUCUCGAACCGGAUUAGAUACCCGUGUAGUCC
rnacentral:rRNA from 1 species